UACGUAGGGUGCGAGCGUUGUCCGGAAUUAUUGGGCGUAAAGGGCUCGUAGGCGGUUUGUCGCGUCGGGAGUGAAAUCCACUGGCUUAACUGGUGGCUUGCUUUCGAUACGGGCAGACUGGAGGUAUGCAGGGGAGAACGGAAUUCCUGGUGUAGCGGUGAAAUGCGCAGAUAUCAGGAGGAACACCAGCGGCGAAGGCGGUGCUCUGGGCCGGAACUGACACUGAGGAGCGAAAGCGUGGGUAGCAAACAGG
rnacentral:rRNA from 1 species